rnacentral:rRNA from 1 species
CAUGGACGGAAACCAUGCCAGAGAGUGUAAACGCACAAGCCAGCCUAACUGCGAGAGCGACAGUUCGAGCAGUAACGAAAGUUGGAGUUAGUGAUCCGGUGGUAUGUGAGUGGAAAUGCCAUCGCUCAACGGAUAAAAGCUACCCUGGGGAUAACAGGCUGAUCUCCCCCAAGAGUCCACAUCGUCGGGGAGGUUUGGCACCUCGAUGUCGGCUCAUCGCAUCCUGGGGCUGAAUUCGGUCCCAAGGGUUUGGCUGUUCGCCAAUUAAAGCGGUACGCGAGCUGGGUUCAGAACGUCGUGAGACAGUUCGGUCCCUAUCUGUCGUGGGCGCAGGAUAUUUGAGAGGAGCUGUCCCUAGUACGAGAGGACCGGGAUGGACGUACCUCUGGUGCACCAGUUGUCGUGCCAACGGCACAGCUGGGCAGCUAAGUACGGAUCGGAUAAACGCUGAAGGCAUCUAAGCGUGAAGCCGACCUCAAGAUAAGAUAUGCCACUGAGUAAUCAGGUAAGACCCCUUGAAGACUACAAGGUUGAUAGGCCGCAUGUGGAAGCGUCGUGAGGCGUGCAGCAAGGCGGUACUAAUCGGUCGAGGGCUUGACCAG